GCGGGAAUAGCUCAGUUUGGUAGAGCGUUAAACGGGGUAAAACCCAUAUUCCUUAGUUAACAAACUUGCCUGCAAAGGCCGACUUACUGAGGGUUAUCGAAACUUUAAGUGUCGCAGGUUCAAAUCCUGCUUCUCGCG
rnacentral:tRNA from 1 species